rnacentral:rRNA from 1 species
CCUACGGGGGGCAGCAGUGGGGAAUAUUGGGCAAUGGGCGCAACCCUGACCCAGCAACGCCGCGUGAAGGAAGAAGGCUCUCGGGUUGUAAACUUCUAUCAAGAGGGAAGAGCAGAAGACGGUACCUCUUGAAUAAGCCACGGCUAACUACGUGCCAGCAGCCGCGGUAAUACGUAGGUGGCAAGCGUUGUCCGGAUUUACUGGGUGUAAAGGGCGUGUAGCCGGGAAGGUAAGUCAGAUGUGAAAUGCGGCGGCUCAACCGCGGAACUGCUGUUGAAACUGUGUUUCUUGAGUGCCGGAGAGGUCAUCGGAAUUCCUAGUGUAGCGGUGAAAUGCGUAGAUAUAAGGAAGAACACCAGUGGCGAAGGCGGAUGACUGGACGGCAACUGACGGUGAGGCGCGAAAGCGUGGGGAGCAAACAGGAUUAGAUACCCUUGUAGUC